rnacentral:lncRNA from 1 species
CUAAAAAAUUCCCAUAAUACAUUCAUGAAGAAGGCAGGUGUUGGAGGUGUGAUCUGUAGGGCAUGCAACCUCUCAAUCCCUUUCCAUGGAUGUCUAUUAGAUUUUGGAACCUGCCGAACAAAACCUGGUCAAUACUGUAUGAAAGAGACCCAUAGUAAAGAUGGAAUUCAAUGGUAUUCAGUUAAAGGUUGCACAGAGAGCAAGAAGGAGUGCUUCCAGAGAACUGUGACACCUAAUGAAGUUCACUCUACUCACUGCUGCUAUCGUUCUAUGUGCAAUUUCUGAGCCAGUGGCCCACAUCUUGGACUGGUCACCCCAAGACAGCAGCUACCAUCAAUCAGUCCUCUGCAAAAGCCUCAGACUUACAGAUUGUAGGAUUUAUGAUCUGAAACCAAUUUUGGCUUUCAAGUGGCCCAUCUUCUCCCCUACCAUCCUCAACUCAUCUCAGAAACAUUCUUCUAACACCAUCUUUCUCCUCUCCUUUUUCUGCUUAUUUUCCCUUCCAAUGAUUUCAAAGCUACAAAGAAGUAAAAAUGUGAGUGACUCUCUGAGACAAAUUGUGCAUAUCAUUUCUAGUUUACUAAUUUUCCUAAACAUUUCCAUACUCCAAAAUACAGGUACAAAUGAAUUGUAUCAUAGGAUACUAAGUGACCUGAAAGUGUUCAUUUAGUUUCCCA